GACGAACGCUGGCGGCGUGCUUAACACAUGCAAGUCGAACGCUGAAGCCCUUUCGGGGGUGGAUGAGUGGCGAACGGGUGAGUAACACGUGGGUAAUCUGCCCUGCCCUCUGGGAUACGCCUUGGAAACGGGGUCUAAUACCGGAUAGGACACAUCGCCGCAUGGUGUGUAUGUGGAAAGUUCCGGCGGUGCAGGUUGAGACCGCGGCCUAUCAGCUUGUUGGUGGGGUGAUGGCCUACCAAGGCGACGACGGGUAGCCGGCCUGAGAGGGUGACCGGCCACACUGGGACUGAGACACGGCCCAGACUCCUACGGGAGGCAGCAGUGGGGAAUCUUGCGCAAUGGGCGAAAGCCUGACGCAGCAACGCCGCGUGGGGGAUGACGGCCUUCGGGUUGUAAACCUCUUUCGACCGGGACGAAGGGUGACUGACGGUACCGGUAGAAGAAGCACCGGCUAACUACGUGCCAGCCGCCGCGGUAA
rnacentral:rRNA from 1 species